rnacentral:tRNA from 1 species
GGCAUAAUGGCCGAGUGGUUAAGGCGAAAGACUUGAAAUCUUUUGGGCUCUGCCCGCGCAGGUUCGAACCCUGCUUAUGUCG